UACGUAGGGGGCGAGCGUUGUCCGGAUUUACUGGGCGUAAAGAGCGCGUAGGCGGACGUUUAAGUGUGGCCUGAAAGCCCCCGGCUCAACCGGGGAUCCGGGUUGCAAACUGGACGUCUUGAGGGGGAUAGGGGAAGGUGGAAUUCCCGGUGUAGCGGUGAAAUGCGCAGAUAUCGGGAGGAACACCGGUGGCGAAGGCGGUUCUCUGGGCCUUACCUGACGCUGAGGAGCGAAAGCGUGGGGAGCGAACAGG
rnacentral:rRNA from 1 species